UACGGAGGGAGCUAGCGUUGUUCGGAAUUACUGGGCGUAAAGCGCACGUAGGCGGCUUUUUAAGUCAGAGGUGAAAUCCCGGGGCUCAACCUCGGAACUGCCUUUGAAACUGGAAAGCUAGAAUCUUGGAGAGGCGAGUGGAAUUCCGAGUGUAGAGGUGAAAUUCGUAGAUAUUCGGAAGAACACCAGUGGCGAAGGCGACUCGCUGGACAAGUAUUGACGCUGAGGUGCGAAAGCGUGGGGAGCAAACACG
rnacentral:rRNA from 1 species